rnacentral:lncRNA from 1 species
GCUAGAGUUAUGCCUCUCCAUCCGAAAUUACUUUUUAGUGGGGUAUUUCAUUCAUUCUGGAGUCACAGCCCCAGAAGUGAGGAAGGACAGCCCUUCUACUCUAAGCACGGAGCAGCAGAGCCUCUCUCAGGUUCCAUUUAUACCUUCCUGAGAUGACCAAAUGGUUCGCUCUCCACUAGGAAAUGUCUGACACCUUCCCUGUAACCUGGUGGCAGCAACCUUCAUGGUGGCAUAAAGCAAUUAACUUGGAAUCCAAGAAGCCUAAUUAAGAAUGACCUCAAAACUGAAAACAUCAGCAUGACAAGUGAUAUCUCCUAGACUGUAGGAAACAUUGAAGCAGGAAUGGAAAAUUACUGACCCAAGGAAGGACGGGUACUUAGAAAGAAGCUGAUAGCUUAUGCUUCAAAGGAGAGAAAUGUGAGCGAGGAAUAUUUGAACAUUUGAACAUCCUGUCCCACUAGCUGGAGACAGAAAAGGGAGAGGCAGUUAUCUUUCAUGCUGAUCCAAGAAGGAAGUUAGGUGGUCUGCCAAGGUCAAUCUGUGCUCUGCACAUGGAAGGGCUAAUGACCAUCUAGGCUGUCUGCCUACCUUGGACAUGAUUGAAUGUUGAAGAAUGAAGAGUCUGGCACCUUUGGGGAGACCCUGGGCAUUAGGCUCUGGGCUGGUACAAAGAAUGAAUGCUGUCAAAUAGCCUAUUUUGUUGUCUAAAAAGAUGGCCUGACAUAAAUGUGAAACGUGGAACUCUCCUUGGUAGCCUCCAUAUUUGCUAAGAAAGGGAAAAAAUAAAAAUAUGGGGAGAGGAGGAAUAAGCUAUAAG